GGUUGCAACAUCCCCGCGAGCUGGGUUCCGGCAUCGAAAAUGAGCCGAAACAGCGAGUUCGCUGCAACC
rnacentral:sRNA from 12 species